UAUAUAUAUAUAUAUCAACAAAAUGUAAGGAUCGUUUACCAAUUGAUGAUUCAGUUUUAGUUUUCAACAGUACGUGGCUUUGUUAAACCAGUGGUACAGUAGCAAUUGCUACCCUUUGGACCAGUAGCCCGCAACCUCGGGUAUUCCAGCCUAUAUACCGUGAAAAUAAUUAAGUUUUACCAAACAAAUUUCUGAUGUGGAAGAUCAGCCUAAGCCGCAACCACAGAGCAUACUUAAGCAACAAUUNNN
rnacentral:lncRNA from 1 species